UUGAAAUUUGUUAAUUGAUAAAAUUUUAUAUACAACACACUUACCAUAAUUUAUAUAUCGCAUACUUUUUAAUACUUUAGGAAGAAGAAGAAUUUCGAACACAUUUACUCUGUUUUAAGCAUAAAAUGAAAAACAUGGUUUGGACUAAAGGUACAAAUGGAUUAGAAGGAGAAUUUCAAUGUGGUUCUGAAGUUGAUUUUUUCAUAGACAAAGAUAUGGUGCACAUUGCUGACACAAAAGUUGCAAGAAGAUAUGGAGAUUUCUUUAUUAGACAAACUUUAAAAUUUGAAGAACUUUAUCACAAGAUUAAUAAUUUACAAUUAUAAAUGUACUGGUAUUAUUCAAAAUCAAAUAAUUUGGAAGAAUGGUAUACAUGUGAAAUAUCUUUCUUUUUUUCAAUAAAGAUAUAAUGUUCUAAAUA